GACGGAGGGUGCUAGCGUUGUUCGGAAUCACUGGGCGUAAAGGGCGCGUAGGCGGCGUCGCAAGUCGGCUGUGAAAGCCCGGGGCUCAACCCCGGAGGUGCAGCCGAGACUGCGGUGCUCGAGGCCGGAAGAGGAGGGUGGAAUACCCAGUGUAGAGGUGAAAUUCGUAGAUAUUGGGUGGAACACCGGUGGCGAAAGCGGCUCUCUGGUCCGGUUCUGACGCUGAGGCGCGAAAGCGUGGGGAGCAAACAGG
rnacentral:rRNA from 1 species